rnacentral:lncRNA from 1 species
UCACCUUUACUUUGAAGUACUUCUUUCUUGCUUUAUAUGAUAUGCAUGAAAAUGAAGUAGUUGGGUCCAAUGCCCCUAAGACAACAUGCCUUAAUGUGAUUAAACGCGUAACUAAAAUCAAUCACCAUUCCUAGACCGAGAUUCAACACUAGGCUCGUGUUGAAUCUAAACAAAGGUUCAUAGUCAUCCUAAGGCCCUAAGGCAACUAUAUAGUCCAUCAAAUGAAUGCAAACCUUAUGUUAGUAGUAACAUAUACUCUUGCUUUAAAAACCGUUUUAUAAGCAUAGUGGGAGUAUUAUGUACAACUAAAAACAAUCAUAUGGACCAAUAGUUGUAAUAGGACCAAAAUUGUUUUAAUAGAGAUUAAAAUGU